rnacentral:rRNA from 1 species
AGGGUUCGAUUCUGGCUCAGGAUGAACGCUGGCGGCGUGCCUAACACAUGCAAGUCGAGCGAUUCUCUUCGGAGAAGAGCGGCGGACGGGUGAGUAACGCGUGGGUAACCUGCCUCAUACACAUGGAUAACAUACCGAAAGGUAUGCUAAUACAGGAUAAUAUAAGAGAUUCACAUGGAUUUCUUAUCAAAGCUCCGGCGGUAUGAGAUGGACCCGCGUCUGAUUAGCUAGUUGGUAAGGUAACGGCUUACCAAGGCGACGAUCAGUAGCCGACCUGAGAGGGUGAUCGGCCACAUUGGAACUGGGACACGGUCCAAACUCCUACGGGAGGCAGCAGUGGGGAAUAUUGCACAAUGGGCGAAAGCCUGAUGCCAGCAACGCCGCGUGAGUGAUGAAGGCCUUCGGGUCGUAAAACUCUGUCCUCAAGGAAGAUAAUGACGGUACUUGAGGAGGAAGCCCCGGCUAACUACGUGCCAGCCGCAGC